GGAGGCAUGGCUACAUGGUAAAGUACCUGCCUAGCAAGCAUGAGACCUUGGGUUCAAACUACAAUACCACCA
rnacentral:tRNA from 1 species